GACGAACGCUGGCGGCGGGCUUAACACAUGCAAGUCGAACGGAAAGGCCCUGCUUGUUUGUGGUUCUCGAGUGGCGAACGGGUGUGUAACAUGGGAGUAACCUGCCUUGUACUUUGGGAUAACUUCAGGCAACUGGGGCUAAUACCUGCUUGGUGCGCCUGCUGCAGGGUGGGGGUCGGAAAGUUUGGGCUGUUGGGGAUGGACUCGCGGCUAAUCAGCUUGUGGGUGGGGUAGUGGCUUACCAAGGCAUUGACGGGUAGCCGGCCUGAGAGGGUGACCGGCGACAAUGGGACUGAGAUACGGAGCAGAGUGGUACAGGGGGCAGCAGUCGAGAAUAUUGCACAAUGGGGCGAAGCCUGAUGAAGAGACGUCGCGAGCGGGAUGCAGGUCUUGGGGGUGUAAAGGGCAUUAGGUUGUGACGAAGCGGGAGUGACGGUAAUGGCUAAAGAAGCACCGGCUAACUACGUG
rnacentral:rRNA from 1 species